ACAUCUCUGAGGUGUUCGCCAGCGGGUCAAGUUCCCCUGAGCCGAUAUCAACACCAUUGGAUUGUGUUCUGUAUAUUUAGAGUGUAUGCCUGCCUUCGAGUAGGAAACCCAGCAAGUAUGCGUCGCGUCCACCUUGAACUUUAGGGUUCAAGGGUAAUGACAUGCAGCGGCAUCAUCGGAGUGUU
rnacentral:other from 3 species